rnacentral:rRNA from 1 species
ACGCUCGACACCUACGGGGGGCAGCAGUGAGGGAUAUUGGUCAAUGGGGGAAACCCUGAACCAGCAACGCCGCGUGAGGGAUGACGGUCUUCGGAUUGUAAACCUCUGUCCUCUGUGAAGAUAAUGACGGUAGCAGAGGAGGAAGCUCCGGCUAACUACGUGCCACAGCCGCGGUAAUCUGAGCGGGCUGGCAAGGC